UACGGGGGGGGGCAAGCGUUGUUCGGAAUUACUGGGCGUAAAGGGCGCGUAGGCGGUUCGCUAAGUUGAAUGUGAAAACUCUGGGCUUAACCCAGAGCCUGCAUCCAAAACUGGCGAACUGGAGUACUGGAGGGGAAAGCGGAAUUCCUGGUGUAGCGGUGAAAUGCGUAGAUAUCAGGAAGAACACCAAUGGCGAAGGCGGCUCUCUGGGACGGUACUGACGCUGAGACGCGAAAGCGUGGGGAGCGAACAGG
rnacentral:rRNA from 1 species